ACCAGGUGCCAGGGAUGGCUGUUUAGGACAACAGAGACCAGAAUCUUCUGGUAAGAGAACAUUGGUACAUGAGGCGACAGUGGCAUCAGCUAUGGAAAUUUUCCUCGGUAAACACAUUUUGUUUUAAGUAAUUUCUGCAUCCGCUCCAAACUUAUCCUCGGUAAACACAUUUCGUUUAACUUUUAUCAUUUGCUACGGAACUUAUUCUCGGUAAUCACAUUUUGAUUAAGUAAUUUCUCCGGCCGCUCCGAUACUAAUAUCCUCGGUAAAACACAUUUAUUUAAUUGAUUUUGCAACCGCUAUGGAAAUUUUUCCUCGGUAAAUACAUUUUGAUAAGUAAUUUCUCCGACCGCUCCGAUACUUAUCCUCGGUAAAACACAAUUUAUUUAAUUGAUUUUGCAACCGCUACGGUAAUUUUCCUCUAAAUACAUUUUGUUUAAGUAAUUUCUCCGACCGCUCCGAUACUUAUCCUCAGUAAAAUACAAUUUAUUCAAUUGAUUUUUCAACCCCUACGGAAAUUUUCCUUGGUAAAUACAAUUUGUUUAAGUAAUUUGUCAUCAGCUUUUGAAUUUUUUCUUAGUAAACAAAUUUAAAGUUUUUUGGCGUCUGCUUCUGAAAAUUUUCUCGGAAAACACAUUAUUUUAUUAUAUAAAUUUUCAAAACUGCUGCAUAAAAUCUGUAUUAGAGAACAUUUUUGUAAUAAUAAUUUACUCAUCUGUUAUAAAAAUUUUGCUCAGAAAACAAUUGAUAGGGUAAGUUACUUAUUAUGAAAUGAAAUAAGUAGCCUGGGCUGGAAAGGAACAUGGUAAAGGCAGUCAUCAGUGCAGUAUUUUUGAUUGAGAUUGAUAUAGUACUGACUGACUCAUCAUAGGUUUCUGCUCAUUUAUGGGUAAAUGCUUGUUAUAACUUGAUGGAAAAAAUGAGUAGAGAGGUUAACAGUCUGGUUAUGAUAAGUGUCUGUGCAUGUUUGAAUGGUAACCUGUGUUGACCAAUCAUUUCUAUUUCACCUCAAUCAGAAUGAAUGUACUGUUGAUAAUGUCUUCACGAUGUGCUUGUCUGUACUGUAUGGCCUUUUUCUGACUGUAUAAUACAUUCAUUUUUCAUAUUAGAGUCAUUUGGGUGUUCAGUUUUUCAACAAUUCCUCAGUAAACAAAUUUUGUUUAAAGUAAUUUCAGCAUUUUGUAAAAAUAUUUUGUUAAAGUGAUUUCUGCAUUCUGUAUUAAACAUAUUUCGGAAGUCAUUUCGGCGUUCAGGCAGUUUUGAAUUUUCCUUCAUUAUAAACAGAUAAUAUUAAAGUAAUAUUUAAAUAAUUUUGAUAUUUAGUUUACACAUUUUACUCGGUAAACAGAUUUUGUUUAAGUAAAUUCAACUCGGUAAAAAGUCUUUUGUCAAAUAAUUUACAUGCUCAAUUUUCGAAAUUUUCAACAAUAAGCAUAUUUUAUUAAAGUAAACUCAACAUUUGGUUCUGAAAUCUUCCUAACUAAACAUUUCUUAAAGUAAUUUUGCAUUUGAUAGAGAAUUUUUCCUCAGUAAAUAUCUUUUGUUAGACUAAUUUUAAUAUUGGUUUACAUAUUUUCCUCAGGAAACAUUUUUUUUAAAAGAAAGUUUGGUUUUCAAACUUUCCUUCAUGAAAAUCUUUUGUUAAAGAAAUUUCUGCAUCAUUUUGUUAAAGUAAUUUUUCAUUUGCUACGGAAAUUUUCCUUGGUAAACACAUUUUGUUUAAGUAAUUUCUGCAUCCGCUCCGAAACUUAUCCUCGGUAAACACAUUUUGUUUAACUUUUAUCAUUUGCUACGGAACUUAUUCUCGGUAAUCACAUUUUGUUUAAGUAAUUUCUCCGACCGCUCCGAUACUUAUCCUCGGUAAAACACAUUUAUUUAAUUGAUUUUGCAACCGCUACGGAAAUUUUCCUCGGUAAAUACAUUUUGUUUAAGUAAUUUCUCACGGAAAUUUUCCUCGGUAAACACAUUUUGUUUAAGUAAUUUCUGCAUUCGCUCCAAAACUUAUCCUCGGUAAACACAUUUCGUUUAACUUUUAUCAUUUGCUACGGAACUUAUUCUCGGUAAUCACAUUUUGUUUAAGUAAUUUCUCCGACCGCUCCGAUACUUAUCCUCGGUAAAACACAUUUAUUUAAUUGAUUUUGCAACCGCUACGGAAAUUUUCCUCGGUAAAUACAUUUUGUUUAAGUAAUUUCUCCGACCCUCGGAUACUUAGUUGUCAGAUGUCCCCAAGCCUUCACAGUCGGAUGACUCAGAUAGAUAUUCCUGGAGAAAAAGCAACAAUUGUGGUAUACUUGGAGGUUAAAUGGUAACCAGGUGCAAGGAUGGCUGUUGAGAUCAAUUCCUGUGGACAACAGAGACCAGAUGUCCCCAAACCCCAUGUGGAACGGAUUGCUGUGAAUCUUCAUGGCCGGAUGACGCAGAUGUUCUUGGAUAAAAGCUACAAUUGUGGAAAACUUGCAGGUUGAAUCCUGUUCUAGAGGUAACCAGGUGCCAGGGAUGGCUGUUUAGGACAACAGAGACCAGAAUCUUCUGGUAAGAGAACAUUGGUACAUGAGGCGACAGUGGCAUCAGCUACGGAAAUUUUCCUCGGUAAACACAUUUUGUUUAAGUAAUUUCUGCAUCCGCUCCGAAACUUAUCCUCGGUAAACACAUUUCGUUUAACUUUUAUCAUUUGCUACGGAACUUAUUCUCGGUAAUCACAUUUUGUUUAAGUAAUUUCUCCGACCGCUCCGAUACUUAUCCUCGGUAAAACACAUUUAUUUAAUUGAUUUUGCAACCGCUACGAAAAUUUUCCUCGGUAAAUACAUUUUGUUUAAGUAAUUUCUCCGACCCUCGGAUACUUAGAUGUCAGAUGUCCCCAAGCCCCACGUGAAACUGAUUGCUGUGUAUCCUUCACAGUCGGAUGACUCAGAUAGAUAUUCCUGGAGAAAAAGCAACAAUUGUGGUAUACUUGGAGGUUAAAUGGUAACCAGGUGCAAGGAUGGCUGUUGAGAUCAAUUCCUGUGGACAACAGAGACCAGAUGUCCCCAAACUCCAUGUGGAACGGAUUGCUGUGAAUCUUCAUGGCCGGAUGACGCAGAUGUUCUUGGAUAAAAGCUACAAUUGUGGAAAACUUGCAGGUUGAAUCCUGUUCUAGAGGUAACAAGGUGCCAGGGAUGGCUGUUUAGGACAACAGAGACCAGAAUCUUCUGGUAAGAGAACAUUGGUACAUGAGGCGACAGUGGCAUCAGCUACGGAAAUUUUCCUCGGUAAACACAUUUUGUUUAAGUAAUUUCUGCAUCCGCUCCGAAACUUAUCCUCGGUAAACACAUUUUGUUUAACUUUAUCAUUUGCUACGGAACUUAUUCUCGGUAAUCACAUUUUGUUUAAGUAAUUUCUCCGACCGCUCCGAUACUUAUCCUCGGUAAAACACAUUUAUUUAAUUGAUUUUGCAACCGCUACGGAAAUUUUCCUCGGUAAAUACAUUUUGUUUAAGUAAUUUCUCCGACCCUCGGAUACUUAGAUGUCAGAUGUCCCCAAGCCCCACGUGAAACUGAUUGCUGUGUAUCCUUCACAGUCGGAUGACUCAGAUAGAUAUUCCUGGAGAAAAAGCGACAAUUGUGGUAUACUUGGAGGUUAAAUGGUAACCAGGUGCAGGGAUGGCUGUUGAGAUCUUUGAACUUUGUCCGGGACAUAGCUGUAAAACUAAAAGAGAUAUCAAGAUGACUAAUUGUUGGUUGAUAGAUCUCAUUGAGUAGAAAUGCAGUGCAAAAGAACCAUAACUCUGUUAAGCCUCAUUUUUGAAUUAUCUCCCCUUUUAGAAAAAUCUUGUCCAGGAUAUAGCUCUAAAACUAUAAGAGAUAUCAACAUGAGACUUUGUAGGUAGAUAUCUCAAUGGGUAGAUGUGCAUUGCACAAGAAUCAUAACUCUGCCUUUUCCUAAUUCUGGAGUUAUUGCCCUUUGUUUAUUUUUACUUUUUGAAGUUGUCCGGGACAUAACUUGGAAACCAUCAGAGAUAUAAAAAAGAAACUUUGUAGGUUGAUAGAUUACAUUGAUUAGAAGUGCAGUGCAAAGAACAGUAACUCUGCCUUGCCUAAUUUUGGAAUUAUUGCACUUUGAACUUUUUCCAGGGACCUAACUCUGAAACUACAAGAGGUGUACUUUCCUGUGUCCAAAACCUAUUCGGGGAGCAUCAUGCACCCGGCUCAAACCGGGCUCUUGUGAUUUUAGUAAUUACUGCAUUUGCUACGAAACUUAUUCCUGGUUAUCACAUUUUGUUUAAGUUAUUUCUGCUUUCGCUACGAAACUCAUCCUUGGUUAACACAUUUUGUUUCAGUAAUUUCUGCGUCCACUAUAGAUUUCAUCCUCGGUAAACACAUUUGGUUUCAGUACUUUCUUAAUUCACUAUGGAACGUAUUCUCAAAAAACACAUUUUGUUUAAGUAAUUUCUGCAUUUGCUAUGGAAUUUAUCAUAGGUAAACACAUUUUGUUUAAGAAAUUUCUCUGUCUGCUCCGGAACACAUUUUGUUUAAGUACUUCCUGCGUCCGCUAUGGAAGUUAUACAUGGUAAAAACAUUUUUGUGUAAGUACUUUCUGCCUACGCUAAGGAACUUACCCUCCGUUUUUGCGUCCGUGAUGGAACUUAUCACGGUAACCAUUUUGUUUAAGUACUUAUACUUAAGUAUAAGGAGUAAGUAAAAUAAUGUCCAGAAUCUUUAACAUACAGAAGUCAUAAUACAUGGUUAUAUUAUUGGUCAAAUGGUAAUAUGCAAUUGGAUGUCUAGAAAAUGGGAAUUUUUUCUAAUUUGGGAGAUGUUGAAGAUCUGUUAGGGAAGAAUAAUGUGUCUAAAUGGUAUUUAUGGAGGAAAUGGAAAAACAACAGGUAUUAUUUAUUUUCUUGGUUUUGUCUUGUUUCUUUACAGUAAUUUAAAAUAUCUUUACUUAUUUGUUAAAUUAAUUUUUUUUCUUAAAAUGUUUCAAAUUGGUAAAUUAAUUUUUAGGAUGCAUCCCACAACUGUUGAUCGAGGCUCACUGGCGACCCCAUUGAAGGAUUCCGGUGCUGAUAUAUCCGCAAAAUGGGAAUUCGUUUUGGAAGGAUUUCUCUUGAGACACUGCGCCGGGAGUGUUGAUAGAUUAUGGUUUUUUCAGAGUCAAGAAAGAUGGAAAGGGGAUUCUUUUUUUUUUUUCAUUAGAUCAACCGAGUGUCUGCCAUCCAGAAGUUUUUUCCAGAUUUAUUUCCCUUUGUUUCUUUGGUAGAAUAGCUGGAAGCUAGGCAAAACUUGCAGCUAGCAGGCGUUUUUCUUUAGGUAUCAUGCCCUGAUAUAUCCCUGGUCUGUUAAUCAAGACUACUAUCGAUGUAAUCCGAGGAGUCUGGCAACUUUAUAUCCGCAAGGAGGAAUCGUGUGGGAGUGAUUGUCUUCAAUUCUGAGUCCAGCAGCAUUGUAGUAUGACAUUUGUUCCUGAGUUAAGAGAGAUGGAAAUCAGUGGGUCAUAGUAUGGAAGUGGCCUGAGAAGAACAACCUGCAUGGACCGAUACUGGAUUAUAGCUUUUCAUUGAGCAGAUAUUUGUUUAGAAAUAUAAUAUAACCUGUCAAUAUCUUUAACUUGAUUUUUGUUUUUGCUGCUUUGAAAUUUUUGUUUCAGAAUUAAUACAACACUGGCGUACACAGUAUGAAGACCUGAGUGUCAACCAUUAAACAGUAAUUGAAAGCAGCUUAAUCAGGUUUGAGAGAGUUGGUAUUUAAACUGUGUAAGCCUCAAAUUACCAGCCUGUCUCGGAGGGUGUCGACAAUACAACCUACAUUAAAGACCAGAACCUUCAUAAAUCUUCAUUUCUUUAUUUUCUGAUCAAGGGAAGGAAGUCGCAUAUUUAAUAUCUAGUGUGAAUUUGACUGUUGUGUGGGGAGACAAAAAUGAAAGGAAGACUCAAGUUUCACACCUAGUGGAUUAAUAAUUACAAAUGUGAACAGACCAUAAUAUUUGCCUUAAUUGAAUGCACCAAUUAUGACAUUAUAGUGUUCAUUUAUAUUUGUUGAAAAAUGGAUAACAAUACAUGUGCUAGAGAGUGAUAUUCUUUUGUUCUGGUACAAUGUGAUUAAUUGAUAAUGUUCAAUAGUGUUAUUUAGAAAGAUAACUCUAAAAAUAUUAUUUUGAAAAUAAAGUACUUGUUACCUCCCACUCACACUCAGGUGCUCACUUUUUUGUCAAACUAAUUAAAGGCUCUAUUACAGUUAUAUGUCAGUGAAAAAUGAACAAAUUUAUGUAAAGUAUAACAUUAAUUGUUACUGUUAUUGUAGAUGAAAGACAUUUAUUAAAUACAAUUAAUUAAUUUUUUUAGAUGAAUUAAUUAUGUGCAUUAAUUUUUUUUAAACAUUUUCUAUUAUAAUUGUUGACAGUCAUUUGGAAGUAACAAAAGUUAAUUUCUUUUUAGCUCACCAGAGCACAACAAUGCUCUGGUGAGCUAUUGUCAUAACUCAUCGUCUGGUGUCUGUCCCUCCAAACUUCUUUUUGUACAACAUCUGAACCACCAGGGAAAUAAUUUCAAAACUGCCUAGGAAUGAUCCUUAGGUGAUCUCCUUUUAAAGUUGUUCAUUCUAUGCAGAACUCUUGUUGCCAUGGAAACUGAAAAAACUCUUUAAAAAAUCAUCUCCUGAAACUAUAAAGGCUAGAUCUUGGAUAAUUGGCAUGAAACAUAUUGUAGUGGGCAUCUACCAAGCUUAUCAAAAUAAUUGCCCUAGGGUCAAAAUUGGCCCCGCCCAAAUUGGGUCAUAGGUUUUUCUUGCAUGUAGAUUCUUUAAAAAAAUCAUCUAUGCCACAAAGGUUAAAACUAAGAAACUUGGCAUCAGACAUCCUGUAGUGGACCUCUACCAAGCUUGGCCACACUCAAGGAGGUCAUUGGUUUUCUUUUUAUCUAUAUAGUAAAUUCCCUCUGAAGUCACAAUGGCUACAGCUUAGAUAAUUAGCAUGAAUCAUCAUGAAGUGGACUGCGGCCAAGCUGGUUCAAAUAAUAGCCUUUGGGCCAAAAUUGGCCCCGCUCAAGAGGAUCAUGGGUUUUCUAUAUAGUAAAUUCCCGCUGAAGUCACAGUGGCUAGAGCUUAGAUAAUUGGCAUGAAUCAUCAUGAAAAGGACCUCUACCAAGCUUUUUCAAAUAAUACCCACCCUUGGUUCAAAAUUUUCUCCAUGGUUUUACCUUAUAAAGGAAAAGCUUUGAAAAUCAUCUCCUCUUAAAAUAUAAAGGCAAGACUCUUAAAAUAUUUGGCAAAACAAAGGAAUGUUCAGGUAACUGAAUCUUGUCCUAAAUAUAGUCCAUAUCCCCUGGUGAGCGAUUAAGGGCCAUCACAGCCCUCUUGUUAUUUUUUGAAUUAUUGAUUAAAUUGUAUUUGUUAGCUAAAUUGUAUUUAGAAUAGAGGGGCUUUCCUCCUUACCCAAGCAUCAGUACAACUCUGGUUAAAAUUUUAUGUGCAACUUUUUGUAUAACCAACAGCCCAGAAUUAUUGCAUGCAUUUUGACUGAAUUAUGGCCCUUCAUGUGUUUUAAUCUUCCUUAUAAUUUAUAAUUUUCACAUCUAUAUGGUCAUAAAUAAAGGUCACUGACCAAAUUCCAUAACUACAGUAGGAUACUGAUUUCCCUGUAUGUACUUUAAGUAUUCCUUGUAAAGAGAUAAUUUUUCACAACUAUUGCAGGUAUAUACAUAUGUAUUCACUAGAAACGGGGUUAUUAUAUAUAAAAUUCUGUAGCUGUCCAAGAACCAUAACUGUUGCAUGAUGUAAGCUUUUGUGAGCUUCAAAUUAAUUCCCAAUUUAGGUUUUGUAAGAUAUGAAUAAAAAUAUUGUAUUUUCACACAAUUUAUUUUUGGUGAUCAUGAUCACAGUAAAUCUUGUAGCUUCUUAUAAUUUCUUUGUGUUUUUUCUGUAUACUGUAUUUGUUUUUUUUACGGCCAGAGGCCGUAAAAUUUACAGGGAAGAACUGAAUAUAUGUAAAAAUUUCAUUGGUCAUUUUAAAAUUACAAUCUGAAAUCGCGGAAUCUGAUUGGUCAUUGUAAAAUUAGUACAAUAACAUAAAGGAUUUUUCUGACAUGUUAUACGCAUCUAAUUUUUUAAUUAAUCUUAAUGAGUUCUGGAUACGAUCUAUCUCAUUCAUGAGUUUUAGAUUUCAGACACUUAAGUUUUGUUUAACCAUGCCUUCUCAUACUAGUGAUAAGUUUUUAUAACCAUACAUCCUCCUACAGAUUAUUUUACGCUGCUUUAAUGAGUUAUAAAUUUUGUCAAAAAUUAACGAUCGAAACUACCUCUAACAAUUACGUCAAAUCAUGCGCAAGAAAAUAGCGAAAAGCACACAACAAAAUUUAAUGAACUUAUCCGGUAUUAUCAGUUAUGUAUGUGACAUUGAUACAAUUCAUGUUUUUUUAAAUAUUAAUUCAUGACAAGUAUAUAUAUACCUGAAUAGUUUUUUUUGUUAUAAAUGUUAAAGUAUUUUUAGAUUAAAAAGCUUAAUUUCGGUUCCUUAAAUUUUUUCAGAUUUUAGCUUUCUUUCGUUAUUUCCAAAGGUGUUGCAAGUCCGUUGAUUUGUAUAUUUCGUAUCAACAAAACGUUGUCAUUUUUAAAUUUUCUAUUAAAAUUUCAAUUUGAAUUACAUUACUUAAACGAUUUUUCUUUGAGUUAAAAUGACAUUCAAAAAAAUACAAAUAAAGGAAUCAAUCACAUAGCUAUAAAAAUGAACUAAAACAAAAAAAUGGAAUACGAAAUAAAUUUUGUUUGUGGUUCUUAUUUACUUGAUUUUAUAGGAUUUACUUCAGACUUAACAUUUUGUUUCUAUUUGAAAUACUUCGACUGUGUCAUAUUAUGCGCAGGAUUUUAAUAUUUUUAUAAAAUGAAGAAUGUGAUGAUUAAAAAAAAUAUUUUUUUAUUUUUUACUUCAUUUUCCCGAAAGUUUA